UACGUAGGGGGCUAGCGUUGUCCGGAAUCAUUGGGCGUAAAGAGCGUGUAGGCGGCUUGGCAAGUCUGACGUGAAAGCCCGCGGCUCAACCGCGGAUUGUCGUUGGAAACUGCCUCGCUAGAGUCCGGAAGAGGAGAGCGGAAUUCCGUGGUGUAGCGGUGGAAUGCGCAGAUAUCAGGAAGAACACCCGUGGCGAAGGCGGCUCUCUGGGACGGUACUGACGGCUGAGACGCGAAAGCGUGGGGAGCGAACAGG
rnacentral:rRNA from 1 species